UACGUAGGUGGCGAGCGUUGUCCGGAUUUAUUGGGUUUAAAGGGUGCGUAGGCGGCCCUGUAAGUCAGCGGUGAAAUACUCCAGCUUAACUGGAGGGGUGCCAUUGAUACUGCAGGGCUUGAGUGGAGUCGAGGUAGGCGGAAUUGACAGUGUAGCGGUGAAAUGCAUAGAUAUUGUCAAGAACACCAAUUGCGAAGGCAGCUUACUAAAGUAUAACUGACGCUGAGGCACGAAAGUGCGGGGAUCAAACAGG
rnacentral:rRNA from 1 species